CAACAACAACAACAAGAAGAAGAACUUCCUCACUGUGAGAGCUGUUCAGCAGUGGAAUUCUCUUUCUGUGUGUUGGAGGCUCCUUCUUUGGAGGCUUUGAAGC
rnacentral:miRNA from 11 species